CUUCAGGCAAGUUGUAUACUUGAAGCAUUUGGGAAUGACAACGCUAGCAGAUUUGGGAAACUUGUGGAAAUUAAUUUUACUGAACUGGGGGAGAUAUCUGGUGCGAAGAUUCAAACUUUUCUUCUGGAAAAGGUGA